rnacentral:antisense_RNA from 1 species
GUGGGAGCUGGCUUGCCUGCGAUGGCGGUCUGUCAGAAAAGUAUUUUGCAACUGGCACUCCACUAUCGCAGGCAAGCCAGCUCCCAC